rnacentral:rRNA from 1 species
AUGGAUUUUCGUCACUUGGAGCUCUUCAAUUUAGCUUUAUUGGGAAAGCAUGGCUGGAAUCUGAUCACGAACUCGGGAUCCUUUUGUGCUCGCGUCCUUAAGGGCAAGUAUUUCCCGCACAAUGAUUUCAUGGAGGCCACCAUCCCAAAGUGUGCCUCGACUACGUGGAGGGCGAUCAUCGCCGGCAGGACAGCGCUGGGUGCGGGGCUGAUUAAACGAGUUGGAGAUGGCACUACGGUGUCGGUUUAG